UUUCCGUAGGUGAACCUGCGGAAGGAUCAUUAUUGAAUAAACUUGCACAGGCUGUUGCUGGCUCUCUCCUAGAGGGUAUGUGCACGCUUGUCAUUUUUAUCUCUCCAACUGUGCACAUAUUGUAGACCUGGAGUUCUUGUUGAUUCAUUUCGAGGUGGCACUGCUGUGCUUUGCAAAACAGAAGUCGGCUUUGCCUUUUCAUAUCCAGGUCUAUGUUGUUUUUACAGCCUCUUGAAUGUGUUUAGAAUGUUGAAUCAGGUCGUUUUGUACCUAUAAAGUUAAAUAUACAACUUUCAGCAACGGAUCUCUUGGCUCUC
rnacentral:misc_RNA from 1 species